rnacentral:rRNA from 1 species
GACGAACGCUGGCGGCGUGCUUAACACAUGCAAGUCGAACGGAAAGGCCCUGCUUUUGUGGGGUGCUCGAGUGGCGAACGGGUGAGUAACACGUGAGUAACCUGCCCUUGACUUUGGGAUAACUUCAGGAAACUGGGGCUAAUACCGGAUAGGAGCUCCUGCUGCAUGGUGGGGGUUGGAAAGUUUCGGCGGUUGGGGAUGGACUCGCGGCUUAUCAGCUUGUUGGUGGGGUAGUGGCUUACCAAGGCUUUGACGGGUAGCCGGCCUGGGAGGGUGACCGGCCACAUUGGGACUGCGGUAGGGCCCAGACUCCUACGGGGGGCAGCAGUGGGGAAUCUUGCACAAUGGGCGGAAGCCUAAUGCAGCAACGCCGCGUGCGGGAUGACGGCCUUCGGGUUGUAAACCGCUUUCGCCUGUGACGAAGCGUGAGUGACGGUAAUGGGUAAAGAAGCACCGGCUAACUACGUG